rnacentral:rRNA from 1 species
CCUCAGUAACGGCGAGUGAAGCGGCAACAGCUCAAAUUUGAAAUCUGGCCCCAGGCCCGAGUUGUAAUUUGCAGAGGAUGCUUUUGGCGAGGUGCCUUCCGAGUUCCCUGGAACGGGACGCCAUAGAGGGUGAGAGCCCCGUCUGGUCGGACACCGAGCCUCUGUAAAGCUCCUUCGACGAGUCGAGUAGUUUGGGAAUGCUGCUCUAAAUGGGAGGUAUAUGUCUUCUAAAGCUAAAUACCGGCCAGAGACCGAUAGCGCACAAGUAGAGUGAUCGAAAGAUGAAAAGCACUUUGGAAAGAGAGUUAAAUAGCACGUGAAAUUGUUGAAAGGGAAGCGUUUACGACCAGACUUGGGCCGGUUGAUCAUCCAGCGUUCUCGCUGGUGCACUCUGCCGGCCCAGGCCAGCAUCAGUUCGCCCCGGGGGAUAAAGGCGGCGGGAAUGUGGCUCCUCGGAGUGUUAUAGCCCGCCGUGCAAUACCCUGAGGUGGACUGAGGUUCGCGCUCUGCAAGGAUGCUGGCGUAAUGGUCGUCAACGACCCGUCUUGAAA